GGGAGUACGGCCCGCANGGUUGAAACUCCAAAGGAAUUGACGGGGACCCGCACAAGGCGGUGGAUGAUGUGGUUUAAUUCGAUGCAACGCGAAAAACCUUACCUACCCUUGACAUGCCCUGGAAUCCCUGCAGAGAUGUGGGAGUGCCUCGAAAGAGAGCCCAGGACANCAGGUGCUGCAUGGCCGUCGUCAGCUCGUGUCGUGAGAUGUUGGGUUAAGUCCCGCAACGAGCGCAACCCUUGUCAUUAGUUGCUACGAAAGGGCACUCUAAUGAGACUGCCGGUGACAAACCGGAGGAAGGUGGGGAUGACGUCAGGUCCUCAUGGCCCUUAUGGGUAGGGCUACACACGUCAUACAAUGGCCGGUACAGAGGGCUGCCAACCCGCGAGGGGGAGCCAAUCCCAGAAAACCGGUCGUAGUCCGGAUCGCAGUCUGCAACUCGACUGCGUGAAGUCGGAAUCGCUAGUAAUCGCGGAUCAGCUUGCCGCGGUGAAUACGUUCCCGGGUCUUGUACACACCGCCCGUCACANCCAUGGGAGCGGGUUCUGCCAGAAGUAGUUAGCCUAACCGCAAGGAGGGCGAUUACCACGGCAGGGUUCGUGACUGGGGUGAAGUCGUAANCAAGGUACC
rnacentral:rRNA from 1 species